rnacentral:tRNA from 1 species
GCCUGGGUGGCUCAGUUGGUUGAGCAUCCAACUUCAGCUUGGGUCAUGAUCUCGUGGUUCGUGGGUUCGAGCCCUGUGCCAGGCU